CCUUGGGUCACCUCCUGCCCCAAUGGGUAAACGCUACAGCAUCGACCUCAGAGACAUGCCACCAGACAACUCCUCAUCCCCAAGAUAAGCAACAUAGUUUGGAGAUAUAGAGGAACAUGGUAUCUUUUCAGAGAAGAAAACCACAUCAAGCACGUGUUCUGGUGCAAUUCUUCUACACAUCUUACAUACGGUAACUUUCAGAUUUCAUGGUCUCUGGGUGACCGGACCAGGUUCCUGGCUUCAUACCAACCAUGGCCUCCCGGAAGACCAAUCAUUUUUUCAGAUUAAAGUAUUAAUGAAUAAACACGAAACUCCAGAAUGUAAUUUCUCAGUGUAUUUUUAAAGGUGACAGCUUUUAAGGUGAUAGAAGACUUAGAAAUGUGAAGACUAAGAAAUGUGAAACAGACCUGACAGUGGAAGCAGUCACCCCUUGUCUAAAGGGACAGAGAAGGUAGUAUUACCUCAGUUCAAAAGCUUGGA